rnacentral:lncRNA from 1 species
UUGUAGAAUAUUCAUCGUACUGAAAUCUUUAAUCAUCAUCCUUAGAUCUAGAUAAUAAAUCUUAUUAUGUCUCUUGGAGACUACAUGAUGUAUAUAAAAUUUUAAUUUAAAGAUUUUGUAUCUAAGUUGAUCAAGAGAUUUUCUGAUAUUAUUGUUGAGGUUGUUAAUGAAAAAUUGAUAUCUUCAGAUUAAGAUAAAAGAUCUAAUUUAUAUUUAUUUCAGAC